rnacentral:rRNA from 1 species
GAUGAACGCUGGCGGCGUGCCUAAUACAUGCAAGUCGAGCGAACGGACGAGAAGCUUGCUUCUCUGAUGUUAGCGGCGGACGGGUGAGUAACACGUGGAUAACCUACCUAUAAGACUGGGAUAACUUCGGGAAACCGGAGCUAAUACCGGAUAAUAUUUUGAACCGCAUGGUUCAAAAGUGAAAGACGGUCUUGCUGUCACUUAUAGAUGGAUCCGCGCUGCAUUAGCUAGUUGGUAAGGUAACGGCUUACCAAGGCAACGAUGCAUAGCCGACCUGAGAGGCUGAUCGGCCACACUGGAGCUGAGACACGGUCCAGACUCCUACGGGAGGCAGCAGUAGGGAAUCUUCCGCAAUGGGCGAAAGCCUGACGGAGCAACGCCGCGUGAGUGAUGAAGGUCUUCGGAUCGUAAAACUCUGUUAUUAGGGAAGAACAUAUGUGUAAGUAACUGUGCACAUCUUGACGGUACCUAAUCAGAAAGCCACGGCUAACUACGUG